rnacentral:rRNA from 1 species
GUAGGUGGCGAGCGUUGUCCGGAUUUAUUGGGUUUAAAGGGUGCGUAGGCGGCCCUGUAAGUCAGUGCUGAAAUAUUCCAGCUUAACUGGGAGGGUGGCAUUGAUACUGCGGGGCUAGAGUACAGAUGAGGUAGGCGGAAUUGACGGUGUAGCGGUGAAAUGCUUAGAUAUCGUCAAGAACACCUAUAGCGAAGGCAGCUUACUAGGCUGUAACUGACGCUGAGGCACGAAAGUGUGGGGAUCAAACAGGAUUAGAUACCCUGGUAGUCCACACUGUAAACGUUGAUUACUCGCUGUGUGCGAUAUACAGUACGCGGCCAAGCGAAAGCGCUAAGUAAUCCACCUGGGGAGUACGCCGGCAACGGUGAA